UACGUAGGGUGCGAGCGUUUGUCCGGAAUUAUUGGGCGUAAAGAGCUUGUAGGCGGUUUGUCGCGUCUGCCGUGAAAAUCCGGGGCUCAACCCCGGACUUGCGGUGGGUACGGGCAGACUAGAGUGUGGUAGGGGAGACUGGAAUUCCUGGUGUAGCGGUGAAAUGCGCAGAUAUCAGGAGGAACACCGAUGGCGAAGGCAGGUCUCUGGGCCACUACUGACGCUGAGAAGCGAAAGCAUGGGGGAGCGAACAGG
rnacentral:rRNA from 1 species